AUUGAACGCUGGCGGCAUGCCUUACACAUGCAAGUCGAACGGUAACAGGUCUUCGGAUGCUGACGAGUGGCGAACGGGUGAGUAAUACAUCGGAACGUACCUAGUAGUGGGGGAUAACUACUCGAAAGAGUGGCUAAUACCGCAUGAGAUCUACGGAUGAAAGCAGGGGAGCGCAAGACCUUGUGCUACUAGAGCGGCCGAUGGCAGAUUAGGUAGUUGGUGGGAUAAAAGCUUACCAAGCCGACGAUCUGUAGCUGGUCUGAGAGGACGAUCAGCCAUACUGGGACUGAGACACGGCCCAGACUCCUACGGGAGGCAGCAGUGGGGAAUUUUGGACAAUGGGCGCAAGCCUGAUCCAGCAAUGCCGCGUGCAGGAUGAAGGCCUUCGGGUUGUAAACUGCUUUUGUACGGAACGAAAAACCCUGGGUUAAUACCCUGGGGUCAUGACGGUACCGUAAGAAUAAGCACCGGCUAACUACGUGCCAGCAGCCGCCGCCG
rnacentral:rRNA from 1 species